rnacentral:misc_RNA from 1 species
CUGGAACAUUAAAUCAAUUCAGCAACAUGUUUGAAAAGUUCUACUAGCACUAUUUUUUUAACAUGAAUUCAUGUAAUUCAAAUCUUAAGUGAUUGGUUUUCACUGGGGGGAGAGAGGCAUGGUAGAGAAAAAAGAUAAUAACUAAUCCCUUCAACCUCAAUGGGGUAGGUACCAUGCUUGAAGGACAUAAGUAAAGUAGUUAUUGAAGGUUAUGAAAACCUUUUUAAACAGAAAAAACUCCGGCGUGCAAACUGCUCCAAAAUUUCGAGCAACUUCUUGUGACUGCAAUUAAUCAAGUUCAACUAGUUAAAGGACUUCUGCAAAUUUCAGAAGAAAAUAAGUUUUAUAACAAAAAGUAAUCAUGCCCUUCCGGCAAUGAGGACACAAAUCAGAUACCAGAUUGAUAUAAUGAAUCUAAUAUGCCCUUCUCAAUUUUGAUUUACCUUUUAGAAAAACAUUAGAAUAGUAAUAAAUAGAUUGGGAGAUAAAAUUUUUUAGGAGUAAGGAUCAGGAUCACUAGUGUACCUCAUCAUAUAGAUAAGGAAAUGGGUAAUUAAAUAUUUUAGCCUCUUCUGCCAUGAAUUCUGGCCCAUCCUGCAAAGGCAGUUCCAUCUUGAACAAAUGAUACAUAGCUUCAAUACAGCUCUAGUCUAAUGUCAAACAAUGCAGUUAUUAAAACCUGCGGGUGAGUAGCCACAGAAUUUGAAGAUAUGGCAACAACUGCAAGUCCUUUCUGCAAUGCGAUACAAUAAAAUUUAGAUACACUGAUGCCAUAGAGAUUUGCU